UUCUGCAAUUACCCUUGUGACAAACUGUAACUAAAUGGUAAUAAGGUUGGUUAUGAUAUUUCUUCAUAAAAUAUCCAAAUGUUGCAGUAAUGUUAAGGCCUUGGAUGAUAAUAUAAGACAAACUAUGUGAUCAAGCCACAAUUUUCAUUGUCGAUUAUUAUAGCAUCCACUCUGAACAUAAUUAGAAGGAAAGAAAAAGAUACUAGGUACUUAAACCAAAACUAUAUUGCAUCUCUGAAUAUAAUUAGAAGGAAAGAAAAAGAUACUAGGUACUUAAACCAAAACUAUAUUGCAUCCUAUUAAUCUCGAACAUUCUGGAAAAAGAAAAUGUCGAUGUUACCU
rnacentral:lncRNA from 1 species